rnacentral:rRNA from 1 species
AGGAAUAUUGGUCAAUGGACGCAAGUCUGAACCAGCCAUGCCGCGUGAAGGAUGAAGGUCCUCUGGAUUGUAAACUUCUUUUAUCUGGGACGAAAACGGGAUUUUUAUCUCAAUUGACGGUACCAGAGGAAUAAGCACCGGCUAACUCCGUGCCAGCAGCCGCGGUAAUACGGAGGGUGCGAGCGUUAUCCGGAUUUACUGGGUUUAAAGGGUGCGUAGGUGGGCUUAUAAGUCAGUGGUGAAAUCUCCGAGAUUAACUUGGAAACUGCCGUUGAUACUAUAGGUCUUGAAUUAUCUGGAGGUAAGCGGAAUAUGUCAUGUAGCGGUGAAAUGCUUAGAUAUGACAUAGAACACCAAUUGCGAAGGCAGCUUACUACAUAUAAAUUGACGCUGAGGCACGAAAGCGUGGGGAUCAAACA